GAUGAACGCUAGCGGCAGGCUUAACACAUGCAAGUCGAGGGGUAUAGUAGCAAUACUAGAGACCGGCGCACGGGUGCGUAACGCGUAUGCAACCUACCUUUUACAGAGGGAUAGCCCCAGAGAAAUUUGGAUUAAUACCUCAUAGUGUUAUUAGAUGGCAUCAUUUGAUAACUAAAGUUCCAACGGUAAAGAUGGGCAUGCGUCCUAUUAGCUAGAUGGUAAGGUAACGGCUUACCAUGGCUACGAUAGGUAGGGGUCCUGAGAGGGAGAUCCCCCANACUGGUACUGAGACACGGACCAGACUCCUACGGGAGGCAGCAGUGAGGAAUAUUGGACAAUGGGCGCAAGCCUGAUCCAGCCAUGCCGCGUGCAGGAAGAAGCAUCUAUGGUGUGUAAACUGCUUUUGUACGGGAAGAAACACUCCUACGUGUAGGAGCUUGACGGUACCGUAAGAAUAA
rnacentral:rRNA from 1 species